GACGCCUCAAGCGCAGGCUGAAGAAGAAGACGCUAACACAGUUAGGACAGUCCAGACAUUGCGGUGAAAAUCCGAGCCGCGUUAAUGAUCUUCAUCACACACUCAUUGAUGCACUGGCAAACGUUCACCAGAGGAACUCCCCGUUCGCCCAUUUUACCAAUCAUACCUGACCAGAUCCAGCAGUGCAUCUGCAGACGUUAUGACUUGUCCACCUCCCAGUCUACUGCCCUCCGCGUGUGUCCCAUAGCCAGGUUUGAUGAUAAGAACGAGUAUAAUGCCAAC